GGAUACAAGGAUUUUUAAGUGUUUGACUACGAAUCAAAAGGUCGUGGGUUCGAAUCCCGCCGGGCUCACCA
rnacentral:tRNA from 1 species